AAACCUAGCCUACCGAGAGCCUCCUCUUCUCCCUCAAUCCCCAUCCUCUCCUUCUCCCAAAUCCGCCGCCUCCUCUUCUCCUCCCCAAUCCGCCACCUCCUCUUCUCCUCCGCAAUCCGUGAGCCCUCGCCACCAAGAAGCCACGGGUGCGCCGCCGCUGGAAGAAAAAAAGAAGAGGAGGUGGCGCGGGGAACAGCGGCGGCGACGGCCUGGGAGCCACCGUGGAGCAGGUGGAGAUGCGGGGCGGCGAUGAAGACGUGUGAGAAGAUGGCCUGAGCGUCCUCGUCAAGGGCAGUUUUGGCUACCUCCUCCCACCUCGGAUUGGGUUUGUCCGCUUGGUGGAGCAGGCAGGGAGCAAGUAGGCAAAUAUGGGAGAAGGAGAAUGACCCUGACGAGAUGGCUGCCAUAGGGUCGUGACCUUCUUUAGCAUGCACAUCGGCACCGUCCCCGCGUCCGCAGCAGGAGGACGACAAUGGCUGCAAGUGACGGCGCAGGAGCCCAUCUUGGUCGAGCACCCUCCCAGGAUUUUACUACUGUUAUGGACAAAAGAAGGCUAAAGCUGGGAAAGACAACAAUGUCAGGAGCCGACCGAGGUAAAGAGACCUAAGUUGACAAGCAGGGUUGUGCAGUUAUUUUUCUCUGCUGUUCAUUGAGCAUAUCAGGAGAUUGAUAGACAGUGUGAGAACUGCUAGAUCCAAAAUGCAGAGAAGCAAGGUUUAUUUUCCUGGAGCUCCUAUAUUGCAGCUGGUGCUAUUUUGUUAUGUCAAAUUGUGUAUUUUUCCAGCUUCCCUUCCUCAUAUAUGAGCUUGUCUAUGGUGGGAUGGGGAUUCAGAGGAUAAAGUUUAUGGCAGUAAGGAGGUCAAGCGUGAGACGUCACAUGUCAAGGGGAUUUACUAUUUAGUCUCUUCUAAUCAGGUGAAGAGAUACUGCUGGUUUAAAGGAAUCCAUACUUUAACAUGAUUUCUCCCAAUUCAACAAAGUCAGGUACUACUCAUGUUCUUUCAUGCUAUGGAGCUACUCGAGGCAGCAGAACAUUAUGCCACACGGAGAUGGGGAUGGCCAUGCCCGCGCUGAUGCCGUCGGCCGUCGGUGAGAGCAUCACCGUCAACAACGGCUCCAGCGACCUCUCCAGGAGCUUCUCCAUGAGCUCCUCGGGCGACACCAACUCCAACAUCAUGUUCUUCACGCCCGGAAGCAAAAAAGCGAAGGUGCUCAUCGACAGCGACGACGGCAUGGUCACCAGCCUCAGCAAAAUCGAAUCCCAAUUUGGCAUGUCAACCACGUCUUUAGACAUGUCCGGCAUGGACGACUAUCUGCAGCUGCAGCAGUACUUCAUCGCCUGCACAGUCCGCACCAAGCGUGGCUGCGCCACUCACCCGCAAAGCAUCGCUGAGAGGAUUAG